CAUUUGAAUGUGUUUUAUAUUAGGGAUUUCAAGCAAAUCUUUUGGAGUCCUUUAGAGUAUAAAAUAUUUGGGGUGUUUUUGAGGGUGUCGGGUAGAAAAAUAUUUUGUAACUGUGGUUGUAACAAUUUGCCACAUAGUAAAUAUUUUUCUUAGUUGUCGUUUGGCAACGGCCGUUGUUUUUCUCUACUUGGGGAGUUUUGGAGUGAGAAAUAUGAUGGGUUAUGCAUUGUUUAGAUAGAGAAGAAGGGAGAUGGAGUUUGCGUGAGAUAUUGUGGAAACAAUGGAGUUGCAUCUGAGAUACUGUUACAGUCACCUGAGACAGGUCCAGCGGACUUCCUUCAUGCCGCUACCACUUCCCGGCUUUUCCCUCAUCUUUUUUUUCGUUUACGGUGAACGCAGUAAGCAGAGGAGCUGCGAUCUUGUCUCCGAUCAGACAGCUCUGCCUUCAUCUCUUCGGCGAUUUCACAGCGUUUCUGGCAGUUCUAGUGUUGAGGAUGGGUACCGAUCGAUUUCUUUCCUCCCUGCGAGCAUUUAUCCUCUGAAAAUCGUGAGGUUUAUGACCGAUUUGUAAAACCACCAUGAACAGCAGAUCUAAGCUUCUGUCGAGCUCGUUCCGACCAUUUGGACGGAUGAUCUCGCCCAACCAACACCAAAAAUGGACUCCUCGAUGAAAUUUGAGACAGAUGGUGUGAAGAGCGCACGAUUCCGAGCAGUCGAGACUUUCCGGCCAUCGUGACGGCGGCAUAUGCCGCCCGGUGAGUCUCCAGCGAGACCCGGGGAGGUAGAAAUUUAGGAUCUAUGCAUUGAACCCAAAUCCAAAAUCCAGAUUUUUAAUCAGUAUAAUUUAAGACUUAAUUUGAUAAAUUUAAUGUAUAAUUUCAAGUUCAAAAAUUAUUGCUAUUGGAUUA